rnacentral:rRNA from 1 species
GUUAAGCGACUAAGCGUACACGGUGGAUGCCCUGGCAGUCAGAGGCGAUGAAGGACGUGCUAAUCUGCGAUAAGCGUCGGUAAGGUGAUAUGAACCGUUAUAACCGGCGAUUUCCGAAUGGGGAAACCCAGUGUGUUUCGACACACUAUCAUUAACUGAAUCCAUAGGUUAAUGAGGCGAACCGGGGGAACUGAAACAUCUAAGUACCCCGAGGAAAAGAAAUCAACCGAGAUUCCCCCAGUAGCGGCGAGCGAACGGGGAGCAGCCCAGAGCCUGAAUCAGUGUGUGUGUUAGUGGAAGCGUCUGGAAAGGCGCGCGAUACAGGGUGACAGCCCCGUACACAAAAAUGCACAUGCUGUGAGCUCGAUGAGUAGGGCGGGACACGUGGUAUCCUGUCUGAAUAUGGGGGGACCAUCCUCCAAGGCUAAAUACUCCUGACUGACCGAUAGUGAACCAGUACCGUGAGGGAAAGGCGAAAAGAACCCCGGCGAGGGGAGUGAAAAAGAACCUGAAACCGUGUACGUACAAGCAGUGGGAGCACGCUUAGGCGUGUGACUGCGUACCUUUUGUAUAAUGGGUCAGCGACUUAUAUUCUGUAGCAAGGUUAACCGAAUAGGGGAGCCGAAGGGAAACCGAGUCUUAACUGGGCGUUAAGUUGCAGGGUAUAGACCCGAAACCCGGUGAUCUAGCCAUGGGCAGGUUGAAGGUUGGGUAACACUAACUGGAGGACCGAACCGACUAAUGUUGAAAAAUUAGCGGAUGACUUGUGGCUGGGGGUGAAAGGCCAAUCAAACCGGGAGAUAGCUGGUUCUCCCCGAAAGCUAUUUAGGUA